rnacentral:misc_RNA from 1 species
UACGUAGGGGGCAAGCGUUGUCCGGAAUUAUUGGGCGUAAAGCGCGCGCAGGCGGUCCUUUAAGUCUGAUGUGAAAUCUUGCGGCUCAGCCGCAAGCGGUCAUUGGAAACUGGGGGACUUGAGUACAGAAGAGGAGAGUGGAAUUCCACGUGUAGCGGUGAAAUGCGUAGAUAUGUGGAGGAACACCAGUGGCGAAGGCGACUCUCUGGUCUGUAACUGACGCUGAGGCACGAAAGCGUAGGUAGCGAACAGG